rnacentral:rRNA from 1 species
GCUGGCGGCAUGCUUUACACAUGCAAGUCGAACGGUAACAGGGAGCUUGCUCCGCUGACGAGUGGCGAACGGGUGAGUAAUGCGUCGGAACGUGCCGAGUAGUGGGGGAUAACGCAUCGAAAGGUGUGCUAAUACCGCAUACGAACUGAGGUUGAAAGUGGGGGACCUUCGGGCCUCACGCUAUUCGAGCGGCCGACGUCUGAUUAGCUAGUUGGUGAGGUAAAGGCUCACCAAGGCGACGAUCAGUAGCGGGUCUGAGAGGAUGAUCCGCCACACUGGGACUGAGACACGGCCCAGACUCCUACGGGAGGCAGCAGUGGGGAAUUUUGGACAAUGGGCGCAAGCCUGAUCCAGCCAUGCCGCGUGUCUGAAGAAGGCCUUCGGGUUGUAAAGGACUUUUGUCCGGGAGCAAAUGCCUGGUGUUAAUAGCAUCGGGAGCUGAGAGUACCGGAAGAAUAAGCACCGGCUAACUACGUGCCAGCAGCCGCGGUAAUACGUAGGGUGCAAGCGUUAAUCGGAAUUACUGGGCGUAAAGCGUGCGCAGGCGGUUUUGUAAGCCAGAUGUGAAAUCCCCGGGCUCAACCUGGGAACUG